rnacentral:rRNA from 1 species
UCGAGAAUAUUCGACAAUGGGCGAAAGCCUGAUCGAGCGACGCCGCGUGCAGGAUGAAGGCCCUCGGGUUGUAAACUGCGGUAGUAGGGAGGAACGCAAGUGACUGUACCCUACGGAAAGUGGUUGGUAACUACGUGCCAGCACCAGCGGUAAUACGUAGACCACAAGCGUUAUCCGGAUUUAUUGGGCGUAAAGAGCAUGUAGGAGGUCCGGUGCGUCUCUGGUUAAAGCCCACCGCCUAACGGUGGAAGUGCCAGAGAUACGAUCGGACUGGAGGAUGUGAGAGGUGCAUGGAACUCACGGUGUAGGGGUGAAAUCCGUUGAUAUCGUGGGGAACACCAAAGGCGAAGGCAGUGCACUGGUACAUUCCUGACUCUGAGAUGCGAAAGCGUGGGGAGCAAAAAGGAUUAGAUACCCUGGUAGUCCCUGAGCGGGCUGGCAAGGCGCAU